rnacentral:rRNA from 1 species
CACGUAGGGUGCGAGCGUUGUCCGGAAUUAUUGGGCGUAAAGAGCUCGUAGGCGGUGUGUCGCGUCGGCCGUGAAAACCUGCAGCUUAACUGUGGGCUUGCGGUCGAUACGGGCAUCACUGGAGUUCGGCAGGGGAGACUGGAAUUCCUGGUGUAGCGGUGAAAUGCGCAGAUAUCAGGAGGAACACCGGUGGCGAAGGCGGGUCUCUGGGCCGAUACUGACGCUGAGGAGCGAAAGCGUGGGGAACGAACAGG